rnacentral:tRNA from 4 species
CCGCCCAUAGCUCAAUCCGGCAGAGCAGCUCCCUCUUAAGGAGAAGGUUUCAGGUUCAAUUCCUGAUGGGCGGA